rnacentral:tRNA from 1 species
GGACGUUUAGCUCAAUAGGUUAGAGCAGAGAACUCAUAAUUCUCAGUUGAUCGGUUCAAAUCCGAUAACGUCCACCA